rnacentral:rRNA from 1 species
UGAGGAAUAUUGGUCAAUGGGCGGGAGCCUGAACCAGCCAAGCCGCGUGAGGGAGGAAGGCCCUAUGGGUCGUAAACCUCUUUUGUCAGGGAACAAAAGCGAGUAUGUAUACUAGUCUGAGUGUACCUGAAGAAAAAGCAUCGGCUAACUCCGUGCCAGCAGCCGCGGUAAUACGGAGGAUGCGAGCGUUAUCCGGAUUUAUUGGGUUUAAAGGGUGCUAGGCGGCGGUGCAAGUCAGCGGUAAAAGCCCGGGGCUCAACCCCGGCGAGCCGUUGAAACUGCAGUGCUAGAGAAGGCGAGAGGUACGUGGAAUGCGCAGUGUAGCGGUGAAAUGCUUAGAUAUUGCGCAGAACUCCGAUUGCGAAGGCAGCGUACUGGCGCCUGACUGACGCUGAGGCACGAAAGCGUGGGGAUCGAACAGGAUUAGAUACC